UACAGAGGGGGCAAGCGUUGUUCGGAAUUACUGGGCGUAAAGGGCGCGUAGGCGGCCUGCUAAGUCGAACGUGAAAUCCCCGGGCUCAACCCGGGAACUGCGUCCGAUACUGGUGGGCUUGAAUCCGGGAGAGGGAUGUGGAAUUCCAGGUGUAGCGGUGAAAUGCGCAGAUAUCGGGAGGAACACCAAUGGCGAAGGCAGCUCGCUGGGACGGUACUGACGCUGAGACGCGAAAGCGUGGGGAGCAAACAGG
rnacentral:rRNA from 1 species